rnacentral:lncRNA from 1 species
UGACUAUAAGUCUAUAUGUAAAGGUGAGGCAGCAAAGAAAUUCUACUCUUAUGUUUUUUUCAUUAUCAAGAGAAGAAGACAAUUUAAUGACGUCACUGUUGAGGCCAGAGAUAAGGGAAGCAAAGGGAAUAUGGAGUGAGGGGACUGUAUCGCUUUUUAAUUUCUUUCUGGCCUUUAAGUCAAAAAGCUCAGCCUGGAGAUUCCGCUCAAAAUAAUUGGAUACUGAGAUCCAAAGACGCCUGGGCAUCAAAUUUUUGAGCAAAAUGCAAAAUACUGGACAUCCCGUGGGUUGGGACAGCCGGCCAUGGUACAACCACGCUUUGGACCUCGAGAUGAUGCCAUUUUUGCUAAGCAGAUCCAAAUUAGCGUACUUCACUUCAAUGAAAUUAUCUGAACUGCCGCAAAAGUGACGCCAAUAUGUCAGCUGAGUUAACUAACGCCAACCAGACUGCCUUAGAAGAUGCGUGUUGUCUCACUUUUAUAUAUAGUCAACUUGGGCGCCAUGAAUUUUAAAGUGAAAGACCAUCUUUUUAAGUGUAUCAUGCCUUAGAUAGUGGAGCACUCAGUGCUCAUUAAGGAGCUCGGUGGGACCAAGAUUUGGACUUAUGUGCCUGAAACAAAUUAUUCGCAAUGCAAGCUUUGCAACUUUAGCACUAAAGCCAACAGGAAGUGUGUCCUAGAGCAGCAUGGACACUACAACAAGCACAAAAAGAACGUAGAUUUAAACAACAAGGCAGAAAAAGCUACACUGAAGGUGCUCUACGUCAUCCCCUCCAACGAUAAGAGCGAUGGCGUCUUCAAUACUGACCUAGUGAAGGCCUUGAUCUCUGCUAAUAUCCCCCUUGUAUAGAUCAACACCAGGGAUUUAAAAUACUUUUUGGAGAAGAAAUCUAAGAAAACGAUGCCUAGUCGCACCAAAUGAUAAUCCAAUGAAAAAAGGACCUGCUUCAUUGAGAAAUUUUUACCAUAUAUUUGUUUUUUACCAGAAUAUAUCCUAUUUUAGGAGAUUUAUCUUAA